UUUAUUUUGAGGAUAUAUUUUGUUACCUAUUUUAUGCCUUGUGAAUAUCUUUUAGGUAGUUUCCUAAUUCUAUCAAAUUAGGGAAUAACUUGUAUUAUAUAUUGGCCAUGGGAGUAAUCAAUGAAUUCAAGCCUUGUUGUUUUAUAUAAUUUAGCAUGGUAUCAAGAGCAGAUUGAAUUUCUUUCGUUUUUUUUUCUAAAAUUCCUCAAAUAUGGCCGGAGAUGAUAUUCCUCCGCCACCUCCACCGACUGAAAUUAAACCCAAUUUCCCCUUCUACCUUGGGUCGCAAGACAGACCUGGGGAUUUUAUUACUCCUACACGACUCAAAACUGACAACUAUGAUGAUCGGGCGUUGGAUAUGCAGACUGCCUUGGAGGCAAGGCGUAAAUUUGGGUUCUUGGAUGGUUCAAUCACGGCGCCUAUUCCUCCCUGCACUUCGUCAGAUUGGACAGCCAUCAGCGCAAUGUUGAUCUCGUGGAUUACCAACACCAUUGAUCUAGAGGUAAGGUCGUCCCUUUCUAAAUUUCGUGAAGCUAGGCCCUUAUGGCAGCAUCUAUAACAGAGGUUUGCUCAGACUAAUGGUCCUAGAAUUCAACAAUUAAAAUCUUCUAUUGCUAAGUGUGAACAAACUCGCUCUAUGCCUGUCUCGGUUUAUUAUGGUAAAUUUCAUGCUUUGUGGCAAUAAUUUUAUCACCACGAGCCUCUUAUUUCUUGUUCUUGUUGUUCGAAGUGUAUUGCGGGUCAAUUACAUGAAGCUAGGCGACAGCAAUCAAAAUUGCAUGAUUUUUUAAUGGGUUUAUAUUCUGCUUUUUAUGUCUUGUUAUGCACUAAUAUUUUGUCUCAAGACCCUCUCCCUAGCCUAGAUCGUGCCUAUCAAUUGGUUGUACAGGAGGAAAGGGAUCGUACAGCAAAGCAGGAAGCCGAAUCAAAGCCUGCUGAGGCUCUUGGGUUUGCUGUCCGUACAGCUGCUGGGCGUGGGAAUGAGGGGACUGAUCAUGGUCGUGAGGGGUAUGGAACCGUGUGUGCUAAGUGCAAAAAGGUGGGUCAUGAAACCUCCUGUUGCUGGUCGGAUAAGAUAUGCAAUUACUACAAAAAGAAAGGUCACGUGGAGUCUAAAUGUUUUGAACUUCAUGGUCGACCCCCUCUGAGAGAUGGCAGCCAGGGGGGAAGAUUUCGGCUGGUCGUGGACAGGGCAUAGCACGGGUCAAUGCCGUGGCUUCUAAUGACAAUUCUUCUUCUCUUGGUCAAGUAUUCUCUAGCGAGAAAUGGAAAGCUAUUACGGGAUUGUUUGGUAAUGCAAAUAUUUCCGAAACCCGAUUGAAUGGACCAAACGAAGGAGCUGAUUGGAACGUAGCUAGGAGAGACGAAUUAUAUUAUUUUAGCAAUUCGGAUUCGGUGCAUUUUGUCGGCAUUGGUGAAGCGACCUUGUGGUACCCAUAUUUUUUACUAAUUAAAAUUAGAAGUCAAGAUCUCACGUAA